rnacentral:lncRNA from 10 species
UUCAGCCAUUAUUUUUUAAAAUAUGCUUCUGGUCCCUUUGUUCUCACUUUUCCUUCUGGAAUUACUGUUAUGUGGUAAUUAGGUCUCUUGAUAGUGUCCCAGAGUUCUCAUAGGGCUGUGCCCAGCAAAGUGAUGGGGGUGGGGCCGACUGGACCCUUGGAGGCCCAACCCUCACCUCACUAUGUCUGGAAAGCAGGACAUGGAGUCAAAGAAAAUUAUUCUCAAGCCUUAAGAUUUAAUGCAUUUUUCCUGUUGCUCUCAAGAAGCAGGGGCAAUUUUGUGUUUGGGCAUCUCAAUAGUUUUUAUACAGAACAAAUAAGGCUGGAGCUGUCACAGGUAAGGGAACAGCAGUCACUCAUGUUAUUCAGAGAAGGAGAACGUUUAGUUAUUUUUGUGAUUACUGGGUGGCUUUAUCUUUAUCUUGUUCCAAAUUAAUACCAAGAAAAAAUAUCUACUUAAGGAAUGAUAGUCUUUCUUCUUCAUGAUAGCAAGGUCUAGGCAACACAUCCUUUUCUCCCUGAUAUUAAUUUUCUAUUUCUAUUUGGCUAUUUUUUUGUUGUUGGCUUCUUCAGAUCAAAUUGGUGAAGGAAUGAAUAAAUUCUGCAUUAAGCCAUGUUGCACAGCUUGAAGCGAACACAA